AGUUUUAUAUUCAAUUAUGAUCUUAAAUUGCAAAUUUAAGGGUGGGGUACCUAAGGCUU
rnacentral:tRNA from 1 species